CCUUAUUACCGCGUUACUGGUACCGCGACUAGAGUUUGAUCCUGGCUCAGCAAGUCGUAACAAGGUAGCCGCCGUUAGUGUACCAGCAACUCCUACCUAUAAGACUGGGAUAACUUCGGGAAACCGGAGCUAAUACCGGAUAAUAUAUUGAACCGCAUGGUUCAAUAGUGAAAGACGGUUUUGCUGUCACUUAUAGAUGGAUCCGCGCCGCAUUAGCUAGUUGGUAAGGUAACGGCUUACCAAGGCAACGAUGCGUAGCCGACCUGAGAGGGUGAUCGGCCACACUGGAACUGAGACACGGUCCAGACUCCUACGGGAGGCAGCAGUAGGGAAUCUUCCGCAAUGGGCGAAAGCCUGACGGAGCAACGCCGCGUGAGUGAUGAAGGUCUUCGGAUCGUAAAACUCUGUUAUUAGGGAAGAACAAAUGUGUAAGUAACUAUGCACGUCUUGACGGUACCUAAUCAGAAAGCCACGGCUAACUACGUGCCAGCAGCCGCGGUAAUACGUAGGUGGCAAGCGUUAUCCGGAAUUAUUGGGCGUAAAGCGCGCGUAGGCGGUUUUUUAAGUCUGAUGUGAAAGCCCACGGCUCAACCGUGGAGGGUCAUUGGAAACUGGAAAACUUGAGUGCAGAAGAGGAAAGUGGAAUUCCAUGUGUAGCGGUGAAAUGCGCAGAGAUAUGGAGGAACACCCAGUGGCGAAGGCGACUUUCUGGUCUGUAACUGACGCUGAUGUGCGAAAGCGUGGGGAUCAAACAGGAUUAGAUACCCUGGUAGUCCACGCCGUAAACGAUGAGUGCUAAGUGUUAGGGGGUUUCCGCCCCUUAGUGCUGCAGCUAACGCAUUAAGCACUCCCGCCCUGGGGAGUACGAACCGCAAGGUUGAAAACUUCAAAGGAUAUUUGACGGGGGGACCCCGCCACAG
rnacentral:rRNA from 1 species